GGCUUGUUGAUGAUAAUAUUAAGUUUAACCUGCCCAAUGAGAGUUUAAAUGGCCGCGGUAUACUGACCGUGCAAAGGUAGCAUAAUCAUUAGUUUUUUAAUUGAAAUCUGGGAUGAAAGGUUGGAUGAAAAAAUUUCUGUCUCUGAAAAAAUUAAUUAGAAUUUUAUUUUUAAGUAAAAAAGCUUAAAUGCACAUAGAAGACGAGAAGACCCUAUAGAGUUUUAUAUUUUAAAAAUAUAUAUAAGUCUAAGAAUAUAAAAUUUUUAUGUUUUUAUAAGUAUUUUGUUGGGGUGAUGGAAAAAUUUAAGAAACUUUUUUUUUAUUAGAACGUUUAUGAGCGAAUUUAUGAUCCUAUAAAUUAGAUUACAAGAUAAAAUUACCUUAGGGAUAACAGCGUAAUUUUUUUAAGAGUUCUUAUCAGAAAAAAAGUUUGCGACCUCGAUGUUGGAUUAAAAUUAAUUGCUGGUGCAGAAGCUGGUGAAUUAGGUCUGUUCGACCUAUAAAAUUUUACAUGAUCUGAGUUUAAACCGGCGUGAGCCAGGUCGGUUUCUAUCU
rnacentral:rRNA from 1 species